rnacentral:sRNA from 1 species
UAGCCUAGCAGAAUUCUCAAGCUCUCUAUCAGCUGUGACAAAAGGAGGACGCUAGCCCAGAUCACAUGUCUACUCUGCGGACUUGAAGAUUAUGGAAUAAAUACCUUAGAAUAAUCUACUUUUAAUAAAGUUCUGCCGACGCCACUGUAGCUGAGCCAGUUGGACAUCUGGACAAGUCAUUUUGUGUGGGUCCAGACAGCAGCCACUUGAUGAAGAACAUCGAGUUCCCUCUUUGAACCCAAUACCAGGGACUUCGCAUGCCAUGAGGAAUAGACUUUUAAAAGAACCCAGAUUGGGCAAGGUUGGGACAGGUAAUGGAGCACAAGUCCUGAAGCUAUUAGUUAUUAGCUAUUAGUUGAUAGCCAAUUCAUUCACUCACUGUUUCAGGCAGCACCCACCCUCCCCAGAUCUUCCUCCUCCUCUCUUCCAGCCGGAAGAGCUUUGCUGGGAGGGUGUGGGAGUUUUUCAGUGCAGAGAGCCCUUUGACCUGCUGGAGAACUGUCUUCUUUCUCUCGCCUCCUGCUCCUUUUCAUCCAGCAGCCCCAGGGAGAACCUGUCCAACACUUGCUCUCCAGUUUCAUCUCUCAAAAAAGACUGAAGAUAAUAGAUGAACUGAGUUGCAGACUUCCAAUCUCAGACUUCGCCCUGCAGACCUAGUGCUCUGUAGCUGUGGCUUCAAUCCUCUGAGGAACCAACUGCUGAGCCCAGCAGCCCAGGAGCCCGGCUGCCUCUGCCUUUGUGAGUGGUGCAAGUCCCUUUCUGGAAUCCUACUGACCGAUUUGGAAAAACUCAGUUCUCACUUUCACACACCUCCUCCGAGACCGUUUGACCUUCAGCAGCCAUCAUCUAUACACCAAGGUAAGGUUCAGUUCAGUCUACAACCACUCCCAACUGACAGCCCUGAGAACCCCGGGAUUCUUUACUUUGCCUGCCAGGUCCCUGAAAUAAGGGUCUCCCGUUUCAGGCCCUGGUUUAUAACUUCAGGCCACUUUGUAGUAAUAGGUGAUGGUUCAUUCACCAGAAAUGAGCCCUACCCUUACCUUGCCCAAAAUGGGGCAAGAUCUUCAUUCCUAAAGAUACUCCUUUGGAGCUCACUCAGUGGGUCUCAUGUGGUGGGUGCUGGCCUGGGAAGUACUCCGCAUGUGAGGAACCAUCUCCCGGGAGCAUCCAUGGGAGGUUAUGCCUGAUCUUUACUUCUACAGGGACCCAGAGGAGAUUGAGAAGGAGGAGCAGGCUGCUGCUGAGAAGGCUGUGACCAAGGAAGAAUUCCAGGGUGAAUGGACUGCACCAACGCCUGAGUUCACUGCUGCUCAGUCUGAGGGGGCCGACUGGUCUGAGGGUGUGCAGGUGCCCUCUGUGCCCAUCCAGCAGUUCCCCACGGAAGACUGGAGUGCACAGCCGGCCACUGAGGACUGGUCAGCAGCUCCCACAGCACAGGCCACUGAGUGGGUUGGAGCCACCACUGAGUGGUCCUGAACUCCUCUGCAGGUGCCUGAGCGAAGGGAAAAAAGGUGGAAGGAAAAUAAAGUUUCUGAAAGCUGAAAAAAAAAA